UACGAAGGGGGCUAGCGUUGCUCGGAAUCACUGGGCGUAAAGCGCACGUAGGCGGCCUUUUAAGUCGGUGGUGAAAUCCUGGAGCUCAACUCCAGAACUGCCUUCGAUACUGAGAGUCUCGAGUCCGAGAGAGGUGAGUGGAACUGCGAGUGUAGAGGUGAAAUUCGUAGAUAUUCGCAAGAACACCAGUGGCGAAGGCGGCUCACUGGCUCGGUACUGACGCUGAGGUGCGAAAGCGUGGGGAGCAAACAGG
rnacentral:rRNA from 1 species